UUUCCGUAGGUGGACCUGCGGAAGGAUCAUUACAGAGUUCAUGCCCUCACGGGUAGAUCUCCCACCCUUGAAUAUUUAUACCUUAGUUGCUUUGGCAGGCCGUGGAAACACCAUGGGCUCUGGCUUAUGCGUGCCUGCCAGAGGAAACAAACUCUGUUUUUAGUGAUGUCUGAGUACUAUACAAUAGUUAAAACUUUCAACAACGGAUCUCUUGGUUCUG
rnacentral:misc_RNA from 1 species